GUAACGGCGAGUGAAGCGGCAACAGCUCAAAUUUGAAAUCUGGCUCUUUCAGGGUCCGAAUUGUAAUUUGCAGAGGAUGCUUUGGGUGCGGGCGCCUUCCGAGUUUCCUGGAACGGGACGCCAUAGAGGGUGAGAGCCCCGUCUGGUAGGAUGCCCAGCCCGUGUAAAGCUCCCUCGACGAGUCGAGUAGUUUGGGAAUGCUGCUCUAAGGGGAGGUAUACUCCUUCCAAAGCUAAAUACCGGCUGGAGACCGAUAGCGCACAAGUAGAGUGAUCGAAAGAUGAAAAGCACUUUGAAAAGAGAGUCAAAUAGCACGUGAAAUUGUUGAAAGGGAAGCGCUCGCUACCAGACUUGGGUACGCGGUUCCGUAGGUGCUCCGCACCUGCGUACUCCUCGUGCCCAGGCCAGCAUCAGUUCUUCGUCGGGUUAAAAGGCUUCGGGAAUGUGGCUCGCCUCGGUGAGUGUUAUAGCCCGUUGUGUCAUGCCCGGUGGGGGACUGAGGUACGCGCUCCGCAAGGAUGCUGGCGUAAUGGUAGCUAGUGACCCGUCUUGAAACACGGACCAAGGAGUCAACCUUAUGUGCAAGUGCCCGGGCGUAAAACCCCAGCGCGGAAUGAAAGUGAACGUAGGUGAGAGCUUCGGCGCAUCACCGACCGAUCCUGAUGUCCUCGGACGGAUUUGAGUGUGAGCAUAUAGGGUUGGACCCGAAAGAAGAUGAACUAUGCGUGUGUAGGGUGAAGCCAGAGGAAACUCUGGUGGAGGCUCGCAGCGGUUCUGACGUGCAAAUCG
rnacentral:misc_RNA from 1 species